AUCCCAUGGUGAGGACACACUAAGAUGUACUCUUGGAGUCUCUCCCACGCUUUAGAUAUUGAUUCAUUUGACGCGUGCUAGAAACCGGAGAUUCUUCCAGAAAGGGU